rnacentral:rRNA from 1 species
GUCCUAGCCGUAAACGAUGGACACUAGGUGUUGGUGGUAUCAACCCCGCCAGUGCCGAAGCUAACGCAUUAAGUGUCCCGCCUGGGGAGUACGGCCGCAAGGCUAAAACUCAAAGGAAUUGACGGGGCCCGCACAAGCAGCGGAGCGUGGGGUUUAAUUCGACGCAACGCGAAGAACCUUACCAGGGCUUGACAUGACCAGGAUCCCGGCGGAAACGUCGGUUCCCCGCAAGGGGCCUGGCCACAGGUGUUGCAUGGCUGUCGU